UCCUCCAGCAGGGCUGUUCUUUUGUUCUUAUGUGGUGUGGUGUCUGCGGAGUCAGUGGGGACAAUGGUGGUGUACAGUUUUGUGUGGAAAUUGUACCUUGGAUCUGUUCCAUGUGGUGAUGCCAGAUGACAUCAAGUGCAACUGAGACAUCGCGGACCUCUCACUGCCAGGACAGUACCUGGAGUCCACUUGUCCUUACCAUGGAAAUGGCAUUGAUUCUCGAAAUGCCUGCCUACAUGCAGUAAUGGGCUGGAUGAGAGAGAACUAACUGAAGCUGAAUCCAAGCAAGACAGAAGUGCUCAUUGUGGGGGCUCAGAAUCUGACGGAAAAGGUGGGUUUUGAAGAGGAAUUUGAAGAAAAAGUGACAGCAUCAUGUGGAACAAAGUCCCAGGCAUAAAGACAGCAAAAGAGCGGGGAUCAUUUGAGGGAGCAGGAGAUCUUUGCUGAGGGUGGUGAAGCUGGAGAAGCAAAGGUCAUGGGCAGAAAUAUAAAGAAAAUUGAAGUAAAACAAAACAAAACAACAGCAACAGCAACAGCAACACUUAGAGGGUGCUUUCAAAUGUUGCACAGAACCUCACUUGAAGCCAAAGUGAUCUGCACAUCAGGAGCAUGUGCUCCCCACUCCCAUACCCAUGAGACUGCUUACUUCUUCUCUAGGUUAGGAUAUGUCAAGAUUGGUUGCAACAUCCAGACUCACCAAGAAAGCCACUCGCUGCCUCUUUGGUGCCGCGGCUCGUUUGUCCCAGCCCCAUUCUCCAGGAGCAAGCGGGGCUGGGAGCUCCUCCUGAUUGGCCCCGGCCACUUCCGGGGGCGGGGCCAGAAGAGCUGAGCCAGCAACGCGCCUGUGCUGGCUCAGUCUGACUCUUGGCUGCAGAGA